rnacentral:misc_RNA from 1 species
GAUGAAGAACGUAGCGAAAUGCGAUAAGUAAUGUGAAUUGCAGAAUUCAGUGAAUCAUCGAAUCUUUGAACGCACAUUGCGCCCAUUAGCAUUCUAGUGGGCAUGCCUGUUCGAGCGUCAUUUCACCACUCAAGCCUCGCUUGGUAUUGGGCAACGCGGUCCGCCGCGUGCCUCAAAUCGACCGGCUGGGUCUUCUGUCCCCUAAGCGUUGUGGAAACUUUCGCUAAAGGGUGUUCGGGAGGCUACGCCGUAAAACAACCCCAUUUCUAAGGUUGACCUCGGAUCAGGUAGGGAUACCCGCUGAACUUAAGCAUAUCAAUAAGCGGAGGA